CAGAUAUUUUUGACACUUUCCUCCGGGUCUCCCGCGGGGCAGAAAAAAGGGUGGGGAGAGUGAGUCAUAGACUCCAGCCCGCUGCUAAGGGAUUCAUCCGGGGCGAGGCCCGGGGUCCUGUGACUGGGAGCUGGUUCUGAAAGGCCAGGGUCAGAAAAAUGUUCCUGUACACGCACCCGGAGGCUUUUGCAGGAGGCGGCUGUUGGAGAACCGGGAAAACAAGCCAAGAAACAAGAGAGAGGAAAAAGACCACGCCUCGCUUGGCAGAUUCCUAAUGGCCCAGGAGACCUGAGGCUUUACAGUGGGAGGCCGGUGGGGGCUGGCUUGGGUGGGAGGGAAGGGCAGGCCGAAGGACAGCCACUUGCUGGCCAGUGACCUUGGGUGGGAUGCUGCCUGCUUCCCUCUGAUGAGAAUGGGGAGACGGGGCGGGGGGGGGGGGGUGCAGGGCUGGCCUUCUGAGGUCACAGGAAGGCCCCUUCCAGCCUGAAACGCGAUCUCGGGAUGUGGGGCCUGCCAACCUGCAGCGACCCUGGGCCAGCAGAGAUGAAAGGCUGCCUGUCCCCAGCUUCCGGACCCCCGAGGCCCCUGUGCCUCCGACUUGAAGGGCAGCAAAGCUGCUGCAGCUGGCUGAAGCCAGUGGCUGGGUGCCCCUCCCCCCCUUCCCUGAACCUGAUGUCAUCCAACCCUCCCUUCCCUGUUUUUCGGAGGACGCUCCAGCCCAGAGAGGUCUGGUGACCUGCCCGAGGUCACACAGCAAGUUGGAGGCUGAGCCAGGACUCACCACAAAGUCUUUGGACUCUAAAUCCAGACCUCAUUCCCUUUCCCAGAAACUUGGCUGCCUGGGGGCUUACCCUGGGGAGUUGGAGAGACCCAGGGUUAAGGAGGACAGUUGGGAGCUGUGUCUGUUUGAAGUCACGACUUAAUGUUGAUUAAAGUGCUUUUUUUUUUUUUUUUUUUUUGCUUUUUUAAAAAAAAAAACAAAAAGAACGUUCCCAGCCCCUGCCAUGAGCCUGGACUUGCUCUGCUGGCAGGGGAAGGAAUGCAGCUCUGGCCGCCACAGCUGCUGGUGGCCAGCUGCGGCCUCAGCUCCUGCUGCUCCCACCCCAGCAGGCAAGGGGACAAAGGCCUCCUCUCAGCCUGUCCCCUCCAGCCCCCUGGAUCAGUGGGGGCAGAGCAACAACCACGAGGCUCUGUACUGACCAGCUAAGUCACUGUUUCUCUCUGGGCCUUAGCGCCCUUUCAGGAAAAUGGGGGCAGAGUAUCUGCCUGAUCUCUUUUUCAGCACUGUUUGGAGGUUCCAAAGAGGUAAAAUUACAGAAAUACAGGAGUUCCCCUUGCGGCUCAGCGGUAACAAACCAUGAGGAGGCAGGUUCAAUCCCUGGCCCUGCUCAGUGGGUUAAGGAUCUGGUGUUGCUGUGGCCGUGGUGUAGGCCAGAAGUUGUAGCUCUGAUUUGAGCCCUAGCCUGGGAACUUCCAUAUGCCUUGGGUGCAGCCCUAAAAAAACAAAAAAAUUACAGAAAUACAAACCUUUCAGCACCUCCUUCUGCCUGAGGGUCGACCUACUCAGAGACCCCUCCACCUUAAAUGGCCCUCUCCCCCCUCCUGCUUCACCUGGCCAGCCUCAGCUCACUCAGCUCAGCUCAGCAGGACCAUCCCUUGCUCUGGGGAGCCCCCCCUCACUUUCAACUUCCAGACUGUGCUGCUCCUUCAAAGUGUUUAUCACUGUUGUAAUUAAAUAAUUAAUUGUGUAA